UCAAGCCCUAUCCAAGUGGAGUUCCUUCCUUCACACGAGAGACCCUCUCGGUUUCCUCUAGCCCGCACGAUUUCUCUCUUUUCUUCAAGCCGAUUCCUUCCAUUUCCUAAGCUUAAGGUCCAACCGAAGUUCUUCAAGGAAAACGAUUUUCUUCGAAUCUUCAGAUUUCCUCUCUCUCUUCUCAUUUGAUGCUUGUUUCCGUAACUUGAAAGGGAGCCAAGUUAGGAGUUUAUUUUCAAGACUCAACGAACCUACUUGUAAAGCAUCAAGGUAUUGAUGGAGAGGCUGUGGAGCCAGACACUACUGAGGAGGGAGGGGCCGAUGCUUAGUGUUCCCCUGUCGGUUCGGCCUUUUGAUGAUAAUGGUUUAUGGUUUCUAUGUUUUGGGACAGGUCCCGUGUUGGGAUGUUUUGUUGGAUUAACUUUAAGACAAUAUAUAUUUUGGGAAUGAUGUAAAUACUAUGGU